GAUGAACGCUGGCGGCGUGCUUAACACAUGCAAGUCGAACGGAGAAUCGCCCUUCGGGACGGUUCUUAGUGGCGGACGGGUGAGUAACGCGUGAGGAACCUGCCUUGGAGUGGGGAAUAACGGCUGGAAACGGCCGCUAAUACCGCAUAAUGCAGUUGGGUCGCAUGGCUCUGACUGCCAAAGAUUUAUUGCUCUGAGAUGGCCUCGCGUCUGAUUAGCUGGUUGGUGAGGUAACGGCUCACCAAGGCGACGAUCAGUAGCCGGACUGAGAGGUUGGCCGGCCACAUUGGGACUGAGACACGGCCCAGACUCC
rnacentral:rRNA from 1 species